AACGUAGGUGGCAAGCGUUGUCCGGAAUCACUGGGCGUAAAGGGCGUGCAGGCGGUUCGGUAAGUGGAAUGUGAAAUCCCUCGGCUCACCCGAGGACCUGCAUCCCAAACUGCCGAGCUUGAGUAUGGGAGAGGAUGAGGGAAUUCCUGGUGUAGCGGUGAGAUGCGUAGAUAUCAGAGGAACACCGGUGGCGAAGGCGCUCAUCUGGCCCAAUACUGACGCUGAGGCGCGAAAGCUAGGGGAGCAAACGGG
rnacentral:rRNA from 1 species